rnacentral:rRNA from 1 species
UACGGAGGGAGCUAGCGUUGUUCGGAAUUACUGGGCGUAAAGCGCACGUAGGCGGCUUUGUAAGUUAGAGGUGAAAGCCCGGGGCUCAACUCCGGAAUUGCCUUUAAGACUGCAUCGCUUGAAUCAUGGAGAGGUCAGUGGAAUUCCGAGUGUAGAGGUGAAAUUCGUAGAUAUUCGGAAGAACACCAGUGGCGAAGGCGGCUGACUGGACAUGUAUUGACGCUGAGGUGCGAAAGCGUGGGGAGCAAACAGG